UUUUGACAAUGUAAACGUUGUUGUGCUUUACAAACAAACUGCAGCUGCUCUCUGUGUGUUUAUUGUGCAGUCUCGCCCUCCACAGUACUGUGGCGCUGUUGGCCCAAUGUCUCAGAGUCAAUGCAUGUGCCACGUGGCGCUUUCGUUAGUAUGUGUGUUUAACUUUUUCCCGCUCUGCGCAGAUCCGCGACAGGCGGGAAUUCAAAAUAACGGAUCGCAACAACCUCUCGACUGUCCCAUUGGAUAAUUUUCAGUAUUUUCCAGUUGAGCAGCAAAAAAAUGGACACCCAAGGCCAACAGACCCAGCCCACCCUGAUGCUCAUCCUUGCACUGCCUGGGACACCUAAGGCCAACAGGCGCAGCUCCUGUUCUCUUUUUGCCAUAAAUACAUAUCUACUGUAGCAAUGCGAAAUUGUGAAAUGUACUAUAGAAAUAAUUUUGACUUUGACUACAUGGGUCCUCACACCACCUGGUAAUAGCAGGAAACCCAUUUGGAGAGAACAGCAUUGUUUUCUCUAGCUCGCAAGGAUUUGCUUUUUGGCAAAUUACAACUUUAACAUGGGUUUAGGCCUUGCUAUGAGAGACUACUUUUUUGCUGGACUUUUUUACAAUUGUACAUUUGUACAAAGUACCUGAAAUAUUUCUGUAUGUACAGUAUAUUUAAAAUUAAGGCAAAUUAUUUUUAGUUUUGUUAAGAUAAAGUCUUUUCAUUUAUAACAAUAUC